AAUUUCAGAGAUAAUGAAAACAUCCCCCUUUAACUUUUAAUUUCAUAAUUGUACCUUUUUUUAAAAACAGAUUUGUGGACAUGUAAAACAAAGAAAACAGUAUGGGAAUAAUUUAUAAUCAUCAAAUAUGUGUUCACUGAGUUACUCACAUGACCUAUGGCACACGAGCACCCCGAGAGGAGGAUUGUGGGGCGUCUGAUGGUGAUUGUCCUUAGAGCUGAAAACUAAGGCUGGGAGAGUGUGUACAGAGCUGGACGGCGGACUUGGGUUUGGCUCCUUCUAGUUUCAAAACCUUCUGAGGCGCAGGACUCUGCAUAGGGCAUAGAUGGAUUUCCACGGUCAGCACGAGGAUGGGAGGAGAACGGGGCAGAUCCAGCCCCACUCAGGGAGACCUGGCUGGAGUUACUCGGCUGGGCCUCACUCCAGAGAGCGGAGACCUUCCCUGGACCCGCUACCGAGACAGCCCCCAGUUGGAAAAUGUUUUCUUCUAAGGGGACAUGGCAGAGCGCGCCCAGCUGGGGUGAAUCCCCGCAGCUCCCACCGGGACGGCGGGUGGGAUCCGUGUCACCGGCCCCGCCGCGUGGGAGCAGCGCGAGCGUCCGCGGUCACAUCGUCCCUCCGGCAGCCGCCUCCGUCCGGAAAUCAUCUCGGG
rnacentral:lncRNA from 1 species